UCUAGGGAAGUGGGAAUAUUUAUAGUACUAGGUUUUUGGGGGAAUGACCUAAUAUUCCCCUUACAUGAUUGGCUGGGGAAUGGGAGGAGGACACGUGUCCUUUCUCCUUACAAUUCUCUGGCCUCUUUUGGCAAUAGUGGGCUGUUUGGGCCUAUUGUGCUUAGUCGUUCACUUGGGAUACAUACUAAUUAAGCCCCUUUCCAGGUAUAGGUUUUAUACAUACAUUUAUACACACUUAAAUACAUACACUGUAGAUACCUAGAUUAAUACCCAUGCCUCGGAGUAGACUUCGUAUGAUUUCUGCUUUAGGGGGCGCAAUACGUGCCAUGUGUCACGUCCUCAUUGGUACACGAAGGCACGGUAAUUUUGCCCACAACAUUUGCCCCUCAAGAAGGGCAUUUCUGGAAACACAUUCCGGAGCUUUCAUAGGCGAUUUCCGGCGUGUUCCUACCACCAUCAGGCGAUUUCCGGCCACCAGGAGACUCAUCCUUUUCCUCGUCACACUCAUCCCGUUCUUCGCGAAACUCAUCUCGUUCUUCGCGAAACUCAUCCUGUUCUUCACCAAGUACUUCGCAGAUCUUUCAAGAGGAAGGAAUGAGCAAGCUAUCGGCGGCGGAUAUUGGGAAGGGCGAUAUGACCGACUGGAUGGCGGACAUCUAUGAGGCCAAGAUGCAGAAAGCCAAGGCCGAGUUGGAGGAGAAGCAAGCUAAGGACGCGGCUAGGGCGUCAGGGAAGAAGAAGGGGACGACUCUGUCCCAGCUGAAGAAGAGAGCUGUGCCGGCUGGCUCGGAGACUCCGAGUACCUUCAAGAAGCCAAAACCUCUACCUCGCCGUCUCGUGAAGAAAGACGAGUCGAAGGUUGCUGAGGGGG